GAUUUCAACUGAAAAAGUUAUCAACAACAAAGUUGUAUAACUCAUUAAGACAUACAACUUUUAUUUUUGGUCAUUUCUUCAUCUGACAAAGUGAUAAUAAUAUUGUUCACAAAGUUUAUAAAACUAUAUCAGAGAUAUGUAAAUUUUGUGAACAAUGUUAGUAUCACUUUAUUGAAUGAAGAAAUGACCAAAAUAAAAGUUGUAUGUCUUAAUGAGUUCUACAAGUUUUAUGUUCAUGACUUUUUCAGCUGAAAUU
rnacentral:pre_miRNA from 1 species